CAACUUAAGCCCACUGGAUGGAUUUAAGGUUCUCCUACAUUCCCAACACGUCUAUCAUAAAGACGCCAAUGAAAGGUUAUAACCCAGAUGGAAACAAGACUCCAAAUGCCAGUAAACCAAAGACAACUUGAGAUCAGAGACGGGGUUUUACCAUGCUGCUGCACACUGGUCUUGAACUCCUGGGCUCUAGUGAUCCACCUGCUCAGCUUCCCAAA
rnacentral:lncRNA from 10 species